UGGGGAAUUUUGCGCAAUGGGCGAAAGCCUGACGCAGCGACGCCGCGUGUGCGAUGAAGGCCUUUGGGUCGUAAAGCACUGUCGAUCGGGACGAAAGCUCGCGAGCCAAUACCUCGCGAGGUUGACGGUACCGGUAAAGGAAGCACCGGCCAACUCUGUGCCAGCAGCCGCGGUAAUACAGAGGGUGCAAACGUUGCUCGGAAUGAUUGGGCGUAAAGCGCGUGUAGGCGGCCGAUUAUGCCGGUUGUGAAAGCCCGUGGCUCAACCACGGAAGUGCAGUCGGAACUGAUCGGCUAGAGUACCGAAGAGGGUGGCGGAAUGCCCAGUGUAGAGGUGAAAUUCGUAGAUAUUGGGUAGAACACCGGUGGCGAAGGCGGCCACCUGGGAGGCUACUGACGCUGAGACGCGAAAGCGUGGGGAGCAAACAGGAUUAGAUACCCGUGUAGUCC
rnacentral:rRNA from 1 species